UACGUAGGUCCCGAGCGUUGUCCGGAUUUAUUGGGCGUAAAGCGAGCGCAGGUGGUUUAUUAAGUCUGGUGUAAAAGGCAGUGGCUCAACCACUGUAUGCAUUGGAAACUGGUAGACUUGAGCGCAGGAGAGGAGAGUGGAAUUCCAUGUGUAGCGGUGAAAUGCGUAGAUAUAUGGAGGAACACCGGUGGCGAAAGCGGCUCUCUGGCCUGUAACUGACACUGAGGCUCGAAAGCGUGGGGAGCAAACAGG
rnacentral:rRNA from 1 species